rnacentral:lncRNA from 1 species
AGCUUGUGAAGCGCAAUGCUUUGAGAAGCAAAUGCCUACAGCGAUUUAGCGCGAUAGAAGUUCAGAGAUGUGAAGAAUGUAGGAUAACUCGUGAAGAUGAGCUCCAGUGUGCCUCCUCAAAUGUCACCUAUUGAUUAAGAAUUUAGUUGUGCAUAUUAGCGAUUUAGCCCGAUAGAAGUUCAGAGAUGUGAAGAAUGUAGGAUGACUCGUGAAGAUGAGCUCCAGUGUGCCUCCUCAAAUGUCACCCAUUGAUUAAGAAAUUAGUUGUGCAUAUUUAUACUAGAUAGUUAGCUUGUGCUAGCACGAGCCCAAAAUUGUAAAAGAUAAAAUUAUUAUUAUUAUUAUUAACUUUAUUUUGAUAUGUGCCAUAAAGGAGAAAUAGAUGCAGAAAUGGAUGUAAAUAACAUCACAUAACUUUGUUUUGUAUGAAAUGACAGAGAAGAGAAAUCAAUGCAUGUAAAUAAUUACC